rfam:Schistosoma haematobium scaffold422_17, whole genome shotgun sequence.
GUACUGCUGAGGAGUUCCACAAUAGGACGAAACGGCCGUCCAAUGC